AUUGAACGCUGGCGGCAGGCCUAACACAUGCAAGUCGAAAGAGGGGAGGACGGGUGAGUAAUGUCUGGGAAACUGACUGAGGGAGGGGGAAAAAUACUGGAAACGGUAGCUAAUAACGCAUCACAUCAUAUGUGCCCAGAUGGGAUUAGCUAGUUGGUGGGGUAAGGGCUCACCAAGGCGACGAUCCCUAGCUGGUCUGAGAGGAUGACCAGCCACACUGGAACUGAGAAACGGUCCAGACUCCUACGUGAGGCAGCAGUGGGGAAUAUUGCCCAAUGUGCGCAAGCCUGAUGCAGCCAUGCCGCGUGUAUGAAGAAGUCCUUCGGGUUGUAAAGUACUUUCAGCGGGGAGGCGUUACCCGCAGAAGAAGCACCGGCUAACUCCGUGCCAGCAGCCGCGGUAAUUC
rnacentral:rRNA from 1 species